CUAAACAGAAUACAAUUACAAAUAACACAAAAACAAAUAACAGUACAGCUAAGUGUGGCUAAACUAAAGUCCCAAAAAUGAAAAUCAAAAAUUUUAAACUUUAAAUACUAUUAUUUACUUAAAUAGAAAACUUAUCUAAACAAAGAAACUAUAAAUUCCCCCUGCCAGCAGGUACUAGUGCUGCAGUCCAAUCAGCAUUUAAGCCUGCUGAGCUCUGGCCCCCAUCUUUUGUCUGGCAACUCCAACGCAGGUAAGUACCGGCGGGAAAACAAACAGAAUUAAUCUUAAGCAAACAAAAUCAACUUUAAGUUGAUAUAAAUACAUAUGCUAACUAAAUGUGCGUGCUAACAAAUAGAACAAAUGCAUUCAAAUCAACUAAUAAAUGUUUUUAUUGAAACUAAAGUGUUGUGUUUAUAUGAAAAAAUAAACUGUGCAUAAAAAGAGUUACCGACAUCAGAGUGUGGCCAUGGAUUUGGCCAUCACAAAUACAUUGAACUUGACUGCACUGUUUUCUAAUUAGAAUUUACUGGAGGUAACUCAAUCUGGAUUUCCUGAAUUGAUGAUAAAUAAAUUGUCUGGACUGACUUGAAAUCAUUUCUAUUUAGCAUGUGCUUUGAAAAUAAUAUGUUAGCAUUCUCUUUUAAAAGUGACACAUUACAAGUUUUGGAGGAUUUAAAUUUUUUUUUAUUCAAAGUUUCUGAUUGAUGCUUUUCUGCAGUGUAAAAGGUCACAAUUUAAACUGAACACAGAGAAAUAAGAAAAUGAAAUGGAAAAAUACAAUUAAAUAUGUCAGCAAAGGAGCAGCCACACCUGUGACAAAAGGAAAUAAAUAUUUAAUAUAUUAUAUAUCUUAUACAGCCCGAGGAUUGUGGGAAAUAGUAGAAACCAAGUCAAUAAAAUGUAUGGCUCAAGUAGAGUAACAGGAACAGAAUAAAACUCAGUAAAAGUUCUCACUAAACAUGACAAUCAAUAUUCACACAACAAAGUAUGAAACAUAUCUGUGAGUGUGAUCAACAUGAACUGACGUGAGAAAAACAAUAACAGUUUCUACCAGAAGGAACAGUCACACAGUGCACAGUCUUAGGAAAAUAGACAGCAGUAAUGUGUCUAUAUAUACAUAUAUUAACAUAAACAUAUUUACACUUUUUUUCUUUGAAUUGUACAAGAACAUUAUUGACUUUUAGAAUAUACUUUAUGUUUAUCAGCUUUACUAACUGAGUCAGGUGAUGGAGUGUGAUGUUUGUUUCCAACAUGAUCAGCAGUGAGAGCUCCUGCUGUCAGCAUGGCACUGCCUGCGCUCCGACCACAACUGCUACAGUCAUCUGUACAAAAAUAGAGAUCUGAGUGUGUGUGUUGGGGGGUUAUCGCUUUUCAUCCCUCUCUUCCUGUCCUCUGAUGAAAGACUGCUACUGCUACAACAUGACACAGAGAAUGAAUGGAAGUGAAAACAUGACACAGAGAAGUAAAAUUUGACAUUAGUUUUCCUCCAGUAUAUGGUUGUGUCUGUCCUAUGUCUGUCCAGCCCCCUCUGCAUCCAUCCUCCUCUCAGAGAAGCAGCUGGAUGGAUAGUUGGGUUUUCCUUCAAUCACUGGUUUGGUCUCAAAGUCCUGAGAAUAAUUGUCUCUUUUAUCAUGUCCUCCACAAAUACAUAACUAAUUCAACAGAAAAAGAGUAUAAAAUAAAACAUAUUAAAUUAACAUUAGUUAAUUUACAUUACGGACCACUAACAUCAACAUCAGAUUGUUUUCUUUUUUUAUUGCAAACAUAUUAUGCUGUUUUAAAUACCAUAUUGUGUAAUAAAUCUCAUUUUAUGUGGACUAUUGAGGCUUUUUCAUCAAGCUUUCAAAACAUAAAGAAAACCAUUUUUUAUCCUCUUUAUGUUCGCCUUCCUGCACCAUGUGACAUUGUAUUUGAACCCAACAGGUUUCCUUCCUGAUAAAAAAAAAAAAAAUCAACCAAACCAAAACAUCUGCUGUUUCUAAGGUAU